AUUGCCCGGGGGAUGGGUCCCUGAGGCUGGGCCAAGCAGGAGCCCUCCGUGGCUGUGCGUGGGUGUCGAGGCUCCGGCCUUACCUCGCCAGGGGAUGGACGAGAUGGUCUCCGGAAGCCAGGAGUUGCGGAGGGCCGACUGGGAUGAAGAAACCUCAGGCAGAGGAGUCCCGGGGAAGCAGCGCGCCAUCCCAGCCUCAGGCCUGUUCGGAAGGUGUGGGGAUUAAAUAUUUUAUUUCUAUUCUAAAGGAUAUUCCAGUUAACUAACCCACUCUUGGGACACCAGCUGAGGAACUGCAGGUCAUGAGCACUUCCCAAUGCCUGCCGUGCAGACAGCAUGACAAGUGCAGCUGGAAGUUCCACUCCUGCUUCCUGCCAGCAGGUGCUGAGCAUUCCAAAUGGCCUGCAGCUCGAUGAAGAGGCCUGCGUCUGAUCCAGUGCCCAUGGAGGGGUUUCUAUGCAGGUGCCCAGCAAAAGCCUUCUCUUCUAAGCUCUAGCCGGAUGCUAAAGGAGAGGGUACUUACUGCUCUAAGUAUCUUUUCUCUCCUGGCUGCAUGGUUGACAUUCCUCUACAGGUUAGUGUAGGGAGGGGUAAACCAAUCCCAGCCAUCUGAAGAGGACUUCAUAUUCAGAAUGAGUCUCACCACAGGAAUUCUGUGAGAAUGAUGUAGAGGUAAGGAUACAGCUGCGGCUUAGCAGGCUAUCUAGCAAAGCCUGUGUCCAAGUCUUACUGGUACCACGUUCCUGGGCAAUUUAUGGAGAAGGCACAAGAGGUCAGCAGGACCAACAAAGCAUUCAGAGCAGCAGCUCCCAGUCACAGCAUGCAUCAGAAGUGCCCAGGGAAUAUGGCCUGGGACUCAGCUUGGAUCUACAUUGGAAUCUGUUGAAGGAGAAACCAGAAAUCUCUCCUGCUGCCUUUAAUAGCAUUUAUUCUCUGAUAAGAAAAGCAAUGGCAUCAUUUUAAACCAUAAUGAUGAUUAAACUCAAAUAUGUGUAUUU